rnacentral:rRNA from 1 species
CACGUAGGGUGCGAGCGUUGUCCGGAAUUAUUGGGCGUAAAGAGCUCGUAGGCGGUGUGUCGCGUCGGCCGUGAAAACCUGCAGCUUAACUGUGGGCUUGCGGUCGAUACGGGCAUCACUGGAGUUCGGCAGGGGAGACUGGAAUUCCUGGUGUAGCGGUGAAAUGCGCAGAUAUCAGGAGGAACACCGGUGGCGAAGGCGGGUCUCUGGGCCGAUGACUGACGCUGAGGAGCGAAAGCGUGGGGAGCGAACAGGA